rnacentral:rRNA from 1 species
UACGUAGGGACCGAGCGUUGUCCGGAUUUAUUGGGCGUAAAGAGCGCGUAGGCGGCUAUCCACGUCGGAUGUGAAAGCUCAGGGCUCAACCCUGAGAGGCCAUUCGAUACGGGAUAGCUAGAGGUAGCUAGGGGAGAGUGGAAUUCCUGGUGUAGCGGUGGAAUGCGCAGAUAUCAGGAGGAACACCAAUAGCGAAGGCAGCUCGCUGGGACGGUACUGACGCUAAGGCGCGAAAGCGUGGGGAGCGAACAGG